rnacentral:tRNA from 1 species
GGUUGUAGCUCAGUGGUAGAGCAGUUGCCUAACAUGUGUGAGGCACUGGGUUUAAUCCUCAGCACCA